GGUCCCACCUGACCCCAUGCCGAACUCAGAAGUGAAACGCCGUAGCGCCGAUGGUAGUGUGGGGUCUCCCCAUGCGAGAGUAGGGAACUGCCAGGCAUCAAAU
rnacentral:rRNA from 1 species